GACGAACGCUGGCGGCGUGCUUAACACAUGCAAGUCGUACGGUAAGGCCCUUUCGGGGGUACACGAGUGGCGAACGGGGGAGUAACACGGGAGUAACCUGCCCACAACUUUGGGAUAACGCUAGGAAACUGGGGCUAAUACUGGAUAUGUGCUCCUGCUGCAUGGUGGGGGUUGGAAAGCUCCGGCGGUUGUGGACGGACUCGCGGCCUAUCAGCUUGUUGGUGGGGUAGUGGCCUACCAAGGCGGCGACGGGUAGCCGGCCUGAGAGGGUGACCGGCCACAUUGGGACUGAGAUACGGCCCAGACUCCUACGGGAGGCAGCAGUGGGGAAUAUUGCACAAUGGGCGCAAGCCUGAUGCAGCAACGCCGCGUGCGGGAUGACGGCCUUCGGGUUGUAAACCGCUUUCAGCAGGGACGAAGCUUUUUGUGACGGUACCUGCAGAAUAAGCACCGGCUAACUACGUG
rnacentral:rRNA from 1 species